GCUUUAUGGAAAAUUUGAUCAUGUACCAACCCGUAUUUAUAUCCCGAUAAAUAUUUUUAAAUGAUAUCUUAUUACUUAUAUUUACAUUUUUGGUCGGUAACAUUGCUGAAUUGUGUUAACAACACGUUUCCAUACAUUUCAAAUUGUUGACGUCCACAACGAAGCGUCAUAGAUGUUCAAAAUGACGACAACACAAAACAAAGUUCUAUAAAAUGAAGAACUGUUUUAAUUAUUAAGACGCUAGAAAGCAAGUAUAUCAACAUAUACUUAUACAUUAACUCGGGAGUAUAUAAUGGAAAACUCUUCCAUGUGUCUAAUUUUAGGGGGUGGGGGAAUUAUGAUUUAAACGGGGAUGCGCAGUGUUACACUUAGAGUUGUGAUGCGCUUUGACUUUUGAAAAGUGAAGACGUUGAAGACCGACUUUGAAAGAUAUUCUGUGGAUAUUACGGAGUUAACAGAAGACUGAGAUGGAGGAACAUGAAGAACAGGGCGGCAGUCGUCAGGUGUAGGCAAAUUAUUUAUAGACAGGACAGCUCGACAGAGGACGCAGCUCAGAUGAAUCUCCGGAAAGAACUGAACAUCGCAGAGAAUGUGGAACUGCACGAAGGUUGUUAACGACGCCUCGCUUCGAUGUCCCGACAUAAACUUGGAAACCGACAUCAAGCACUAUGGCUGCUGUGGCACGGAAGCAGUGUGGUGUGUAGGUCUUAAUGCACUUUGACGACUUAUCGGCCAUACAUCCUGUGAACGACCUUUUUGCUAAAGCCUAAUGUCAUCGUCUAGCAGUAGGUACAAUUCCGCAUCACCGAUGACCAAGGUGAAGUAGCAGACGAAAUUUUAGACAUACAUUAGGCCUAGUAGGCUAGUAACUAAAGACAUUGUUUACAGUUAUGAUUUUAUCAAUUUUUGAUGAAAGUCCACUGCUUGGAAUACAAAUAAAACCGUAAAUACAU